rnacentral:rRNA from 1 species
CCUACGGGUGGCAGCAGUGAGGAAUAUUGGUCAAUGGGCGCAAGCCUGAACCAGCCAAGUCGCGUGAGGGAAGACGGCCCUACGGGUUGUAAACCUCUUUUGCCGGGGAGCAAGCCUGAGCACGUGUGCCCAGGCGGAGAGUACCCGGAGAAAAAGCAUCCGCUAACUCCGUGCCAGCAGCCGCGGUAAUACGGAGGAUGCGAGCGUUAUUCGGAUUUAUUGGGUUUAAAGGGUGCGCAGGGGGGCGGUUAAGCCGGCGGUAAAAAUUCAGGGCAAAACCCUGUCGAGCCGUCGGAACUGGCCGCCGGGAGUGGGCGAGAAGUAUGCGGAAUGCGUGGUGUAGCGGUGAAAUGCAUAGAUAUCACGCAGAACGCCGAUUGCGAAGGCAGCAUACGGGCGCCCGACUGACGCUGAGGCACGAAAGCGUGGGGAUCGAACAGGAUUAGAUACCCUUGUAGUC